rnacentral:rRNA from 1 species
GGGAGGCAGCAGUGAGGAAUAUUGGUCAAUGGGCGAGAGCCUGAACCAGCCAAGUAGCGUGAAGGAUGACUGCCUAUGGGUUGUAAACUUCUUUUAUAAAGGAAUAAGUCGGGUAUGGAUACCCGUUUGCAUGUACUUUAUGAAUAAGGAUCGGCUAACUCCGUGCCAGCAGCCGCGGUAAUACGGAGGAUCCGAGCGUUAUCCGGAUUUAUUGGGUUUAAAGGGAGCGUAGAUGGAUGUUUAAGUCAGUUGUGAAAGUUUGCGGCUCAACCGUAAAAUUGCAGUUGAUACUGGAUAUCUUGAGUG